GGUUGAUCCUGCCAGUAGUCAUAUGCUUGUCUCAAAGAUUAAGCCAUGCAUGUCUAAGUAUAAACAACUUUAUACUGUGAAACUGCGUACGGCUCAUUAUAUCAGCAAUAAUUUAUUUGAUGGUCUCUUACUACUUGGAUACCCGUAGUAAUUCUAGAGCUAAUACAUGCGCAAAACCUGGACCUCUUCGGGAACGGGUGUAUUUAUUAGAUAAAAAACCAAUGCGACCCUCUGGGUUGGUUCUUUGGUGAUUCAUAAUAACUUUUCGAAUCGCAUAGCCUCGUGCUGGCGA
rnacentral:rRNA from 1 species